rnacentral:lncRNA from 10 species
AGAGAAGAGGCUGUGCUUCGGCGCUCCGGCUCCUCAGAGAGCCUCGGCUAGCUGGGAUUCUGUCCCUGACCGUCUUCACAGUCCAGGUGAUCUUGACUACUGCUUUACAGAGAAUUGGAUCUGAGGUGUGGAAACAGGAAGAGAACUAGAACUGGAAGUAAAGCAUUGAAGAUGUGACUGAAUUGCUGCAAUCUCAUGAUCAAAUUUGAAUGGAUGAGGAGUUGCUUUUUAGGGAUGAGCAAAGAAAGUGGUUUCUCGAGAUGGAAUCUACUGGUUGCUCCUUGAGGGCAGGACAGUUCUUAUGGCUUUAUCCGUUGCGUAAGCACAGAGAGGUCUGCGAGGUCAAAACUAUUGUCAUGAUAGCAAGAUGCCUGUCUUUUUCAUUUAUUCUCACGGUGUGCAGAGGCUACAUGAUGUGUGAUGACAUCCUCAUUGAUGUUAAUGAAUGGUGCUAUACUUGAAUUUUCUAAGGUGUCAUUAGGUAGGUUUAGGUAUGCAUACUUGUUUUUAGAAAUUAUUUUUUUCCUUUUUCCCAUUUUUAGAAAUCAACUCAUUUUUUAGGUUAUGCCUUCAGUAAUCUUUGCAACCUCAAUAUUGUGUAAUGGUUACUUUAAAAUACUGUAGUUUUCUUUGUGCCUAAGUAUAAACAUAAGUACAUUUUGUUGUUUUGUUUGCAAUAGUGG